rnacentral:rRNA from 1 species
AACGAACGCUGGCGGCAUGCCUAACACAUGCAAGUCGAACGAGACCUUCGGGUCUAGUGGCGCACGGGUGCGUAACGCGGGGGAACCUGCCCUUAGGUUCGGAAUAACUCCCCGUAAGGGGUGCUAAUACCGGAUAAUGUCGUCGGACCAAAGAUUUAUCGCCUUUGGAUGGGCCCGCGUUGGAUUAGCUAGUUGGUAGGGUAAAAGCCUACCAAGGCGACGAUCCAUAGCUGGUCUGAGAGGAUGAUCAGCCACACUGGGACUGAGACACGGCCCAGACUCCUACGGGAGGCAGCAGUGGGGAAUAUUGGACAGUGGGCGAAAGCCUGAUCCCGCAAUGCCGCGUGAGUGAUGAAGGCCUUAGGGUUGUAAAGCUCUUUUACCCGGGAUGAUAAUGACAGUACCGGGAGAAUAAGCUCCGGCUAACUACGUG